rnacentral:rRNA from 1 species
GAAUAUAGCAAUGGCAAAAGAACUAGGUUUUGGGAAGACCACUGGUUCGGCAAUGCCACUUUAGCCACCCAAUAUUGGGACUUAUACAAUUUAGCUUAUGAACAUAAUGUCACUAUUGACAAAAUCUGGGAUGGACACAAUUUAAAGAUGACUUUCAGGAGGUGUUUUACUCAGGAACAAAUGGCUGGCUGGUUUGAACUUGUGGACAUAGCUAGCUCCAUUAGUUUUGUAAAUAAGGAUGACACCCCUGUUUGGAAUCUGAAUACUAAAGGGGUUUAUACUGUCAAAUCCUUCUACAAGUUUAUUAAUUUUAGAGGGCUCUUACCUACUUCCACUCCUGCAGUGUGGAGUAUAAAAAUUCCCCCCAGGAUUUAG